rnacentral:rRNA from 1 species
ACGGAAGGCAGCAGCUAAGAAUAUUCCGCAAUGGACGAAAGUCUGACGGAGCGACGCCGCGUGGAUGAUGAAGGUCGGAAGAUUGUAAAAUCCUUUUAUAACUGAGGAAUAAGCAGGGUGAGAGAAACGUCUUGUGGUGACUGUAGGUUAUGAAUAAGCAACGGCUAAUUACGUGCCAGCAGCCGCGGUAACACGUAGGUUGCGAGCGUUGUUCGGAAUUAUUGGGCGUAAAGGGCAUGUAGGCGGUUUUGCGAGCUUGAUGUGAAAGGCAGGAGCUUAACUCCUGGACUGCGUUGAGAACUGCAUGACUAGAGUCACUGAGGGGCAAUCAGAAUUCCUGGUGUAGGGGUGAAAUCUGUAGAUAUCAGGAAGAAUACCAAUGGCGAAGGCAGGUUACCAGCAGAUGACUGACGCUGAGGUGCGAAGGUGCGGGGAGCAAACAGGAUUAGAUACCCUGGUA